GUUUUGUCUUUGUCUCCUCUUUUCUACCGACAGCUUUUUUUUUUUUAAUUUCAGACACAAAAUCUUUGAGUAAUAAAAAAAAACGAUUGCAAUGAUUCGGCGCUUGGACGAUUCGACUCUGGUUAAUUUAAAGUAUGGAUCCAGCAAAAGAGAAGCCGAUCGGAGACAUGCAAGAUCAGAUCGUGGUGUACUCGUACAUUUUUGGAAUAUAUACGAAGAUGGCGAGAGCACCGACAGAAGAAGUUCAUCCGAUAUAUAAGGGUAAUACAAAUUAAAAAUACUUGCGUUUCUUAAAGAUCUUGUUUAUCUGGUUACGUUUUUACUCAUUCAAACGAAGAAGAAAGCUAAAACAAAUCUAAUUUUUUUUUGUUUUUUUUUGUUUUGUUUUAUUGCUAUGAGAUGGAAAAGUGUCGUGACCACUCAGAAGCUGGAAUUUGUAUUUUUACAGAGUAUAUAUAAAUUCCUAAAAGACUUAAGGAGAAUCAAAAAUGGAUAUAUAUACAAACAAUGCUGAGAUGAGGCACGACUACGAAACCGUUUAAUAACUAAAGCAGGUAAUCAAUACUACUCAAAUAGUAUUAGUUAUGAAUUAGGAAUGUAAUUGAUAUUGGCUAGAUAGGAAAAUGGAACAUUAUGAAGCUUGAUGUGAUGAUCCUAUUUGCUUUAGGGGUAAUACACAUUUAAAAGUUUUGCCUAUCUUUUCUAUAAAAGUUGACCUGGUUACGUUUUAGGAUUGAUAAUGAAGAAGAAAGCUAAAACAAAUCUAAUAUUUUUUUUUGUUUUUUUUUGUUUUGUUUAUAUUGCUAUGAGAUGGAAAGGUGUUGUGACCACUCAGAAGCUGGAAUUUAUAUUUUUAACAGAGUAUAUAUAAAUUCC